AAUUGUUCUUCAUCUGGGUUCAGUCUGUUCACGCCUCUGAAGGUUUCAAUCUUUUUCAUCUUCUUAUCUCCUCUUCCUAUCCUCUCUCUCUGCUACUCGAUCUCUCUCAUCUAUCUCACUGUGCGUCGCACACAAGACGCCAACGUUUUGCUGGGAUGCCCUAGCCAAUUACCCAACCCAGCAACCUUAGCUCCACACCGGUUAAACGCGAACCCAUCCCUCCCAUCACCCUCGAGCUCCUCCUUCCUCUCUCCGUCAUCGAUCUCACUCCCUCACCUCCGUCCAUCUCCCGCCGCCGUCGCCAAAACGAGCUUCGAAGCCACCGUCGUUAUCGUGCAGCUCUGUUCCACCAUCGUGCAGCUACUGUUUCAGCUUUGAAAGCACCGUCGCGCAGCUUGGUUCCAUCGUCGCCGGGCUUGCCUCCUUUUUCCGUGGCGCAGCUCUGUUCCAUCGUCACCGGCGCUAUCUCUGUUCCACCUGCCAUCCCUUCGGUCGUGCCCUUGUCUCCCUCUUGCUUAGGAUCUGCUCUGCUCUGUUCUAGGGCUUCUAGCUUCUAGGCUAUGUUUGAUGAGGAUGAGGAAGAUAAAUACAAGGAAAGGAAUUCGGGAAAUAGUUUGAAGAGAAAAGAGAGUGGUGGUGGAGGAAAGUCAACCUUGGAAGAAUUGAUAAGGGAAGAGGAGAAGAAAAAGGAG